rnacentral:sRNA from 1 species
CGCUGCUAAGCUAUCCCUCGCUGCUAAGCUAUCCCUCGCUGCUAAGCUAUCCCUCGCUGCUAAGCUAUCCCUCGCUGCUAAGCUAUCGCCGCUGCCAACCUAUCUAUUGCUGCAAGCUAUCCCUCGCUGCUAAGCUAUCCCUCGCUGCUAAGCUAUCGCCGCUGCCAACCUAUCUAUUGCUGCAAGCUAUCCCUCGCUGCUAAGCUAUCCCUCGCUGCUAAGCUAUCCCUCGCUGCUAAGCUAUCGCCGCUGCCAACCUAUCUAUUGCUGCAAGCUAUCCCUCGCUGCUAAGCUAUCCCUCGCUGCUAAGCUAUCCCUCGCUGCUAAGCUAUCCCUCGCUGCUAAGCUAUCCCUCGCUGCUAAGCUAUCCCUCGCUGCUAAGCUAUCCCUCGCUGCUAAGCUAUCCCUCGCUGCUAAGCUAUCCCUCGCUGCUAAGCUAUCCCUCGCUGCUAAGCUAUCGCUCGCUGCUAAGCUAUCGCCGCUGCCAACCUAUCUAUUGCUGCAAGCUAUCCCUCGCUGCUAAGCUAUCCCUCGCUGCUAAGCUAUCCCUCGCUGCUAAGCUAUCCCUCGCUGCUAAGCUAUCGCCGCUGCCAACCUAUCUAUUGCUGCAAGCUAUCCCUCGCUGCUAAGCUAUCCCUCGCUGCUAAGCUAUCGCCGCUGCCAACCUAUCUAUUGCUGCAAGCUAUCCCUCGCUGCUAAGCUAUCCCUCGCUGCUAAGCUAUCCCUCGCUGCUAAGCUAUCCCUCGCUGGCUAUCCCUCACUGCUAAGCUAUCGCCGCUGCCAACCUAUCUAUUGCUGCAAGCUAUCCCUCGCUGCUAAGCUAUCCCUCGCUGCUAAGCUAUCCCUCGCUGCUAAGCUAUCCCUCACUGCUAAGCUAUCACUGCUAAUCUAUCGCUGCCAACCUAUCUACCGCGGCGAAUCUAUCUAUUGCUGCCAACCAACCUACCACUGCCAACCUAUCUAUCGCUGCCAAUCUAUCGCUGCCAAUCUAUCGCUGCCAAUCUAUCGCUGCCAACCUAUCUACUGCAGUGAAUCUAACUAUCACUAUCAUUACUAGUUCAAAAUAGAACUAGAGCAUAAAUACACUAAACUUCUUUUGAUAGGUAAUGAUUUUUGGUAACACUCAUAGCAUUAUAUCAUCUAUAUAGGGUAAAUCAUGGUCCCAUUUGGUCCCAUUUUAACAAAAUGGGACCAAAUGGGACUAGAAUCAGUAAUUUAUAAGAAGAACAUGAUCUGGGACUAGAUUUAUAAUAUAAACAGUGUAAAGUGACUAAUUUAAUAAACACUAUAUGAGACCAGGACUAAGAAAUUUGAUAAUGGGACUGGAGAAAUAUUUAGUCCCAGUUUCAUACAUGGUCACACAGUCAGUCUACUCAAGAUGGCCAUUUUGAACAUGACAAAAUCAUCAAAGCAAUCAAAUGCAAGUACUUGUGGCAUGGUAUAAGUGAUGAGAUUGCAGAAUAUGUGAGAACUUGUGAUGUUUGUCAAUGCAUCAAGAUAUCAUGACACAAACUGUAUGAAUUGCUACAACCACAUUCAGCACCAUAUAAGAAAUAGCAUACAAUUAGCAUGGACUUUAUUGAAGAUCUG